rnacentral:rRNA from 1 species
UACGUAGGGUGCAAGCGUUGUCCGGAAUUAUUGGGCGUAAAGAGCUCGUAGGCGGUUUGUCGCGUCUGCUGUGAAAACUCGGGGCUUAACUCCGGGCCUGCAGUGGGUACGGGCAGACUAGAGUGCGGUAGGGGAGACUGGAAUUCCUGGUGUAGCGGUGAAAUGCGCAGAUAUCGGGAGGAACACCGGUGGCGAAGGCGGUCUCUG